GAACGCUGGCGGCAGGCCUAACACAUGCAAGUCGAACGGUAACAGAAAGCAGCUUGCUGCUUGCUGACGAGUGGCGGACGGGUGAGUAAUGUCUGGGAAACUGCCUGAUGGAGGGGGAUAACUACUGGAAACGGUAGCUAAUACCGCAUAACGUCGCAAGACCAAAGAGGGGGACCUUCGGGCCUCUUGCCAUCGGAUGUGCCCAGAUGGGAUUAGCUUGUUGGUGGGGUAACGGCUCACCAAGGCGACGAUCUCUAGCUGGUCUGAGAGGAUGACCAGCCACACUGGAACUGAGACACGGUCCAGACUCCUACGGGAGGCAGCAGUGGGGAAUAUUGCACAAUGGGCGCAAGCCUGAUGCAGCCAUGCCGCGUGUAUGAAGAAGGCCUUCGGGUUGUAAAGUACUUUCAGCGGGGAGGAAGGGAGUAAAGUUAAUACCUUUGCUCAUUGACGUUACCCGCAGAAGAAGCACCGGCUAACUCCGUGCCAGCCGCUGC
rnacentral:rRNA from 1 species